CCUACGGGAGGCAGCAGUGGGGAAUAUUGGGCAAUGGGCGCAAGCCUGACGCAGCAACGCCGCGUGAUGGAAGAAGGCCUUCGGGUUGUAAACUUCUUUUCUCAGGGACGAAGUAAGUGACGGUACCUGAGGUAUAAUCCACGGCUAACUACGCGCCAGCAGCCGCGGUAAUACGUAGGUGGCAAGCGUUAUCCGGAUUUAUUGGGUGUAAGGGGCGUGUAGGCGGGUGCGCAAGUCAGAUGUGAAAACUCAGGGCUCAACCCUGAGCCUGCAUUUGAAACUGUGUUUCUUGAGUGAUGGAGAGGCAGUCGGAAUUCCGUGUGUAGCGGUGAAAUGCGUAGAUAUACGGAGGAACACCAGUGGCGAAGGCGGAUUGCUGGACAGUAACUGACGCUGAGGCGCGAAAGCGUGGGGAGCAAAAGGGAUUAGAUACCCUGGUAGUC
rnacentral:rRNA from 1 species